UACGGAGGGGGCUAGCGUUGUUCGGAAUUACUGGGCGUAAAGCGCACGUAGGCGGCUUCGCAAGUCAGAGGUGAAAGCCUGGGGCUCAACCCCAGAACUGCCUUUAAGACUGCAUCGCUUGAAUCCAGGAGAGGUGAGUGGAAUUCCGAGUGUAGAGGUGAAAUUCGUAGAUAUUCGGAAGAACACCAGUGGCGAAGGCGGCUCACUGGACUGGUAUUGACGCUGAGGUGCGAAAGCGUGGGGAGCAAACAG
rnacentral:rRNA from 1 species